UCCUCCCUCUGUCGGCGUGCCUAAUACAUGCAAGUUGAGCGCUGAAGGUUGGUACUUGUACCGACUGGAUGAGCAGCGAACGGGUGAGUAACGCGUGGGGAAUCUGCCUUUGAGCGGGGGACAACAUUUGGAAACGAAUGCUAAUACCGCAUAAAAACUUUAAACACAAGUUUUAAGUUUGAAAGAUGCAAUUGCAUCACUCAAAGAUGAUCCCGCGUUGUAUUAGCUAGUUGGUGAGGUAACGGCUCACCAAGGCGAUGAUACAUAGCCGACCUGAGAGGGUGAUCGGCCACAUGGGGACUGAGACACGGCCCAAACUCCGACGGGAGGCAGCAGUAGGGAAUCUUCGGCAAUGGACGAAAGUCUGACCGAGCAACGCCGCGUGAGGGAAGAAGGUUUUCGGAUCGUAAAACUCUGUUGGUAGAGAAGAACGUUGGUGAGAGUGGAAAGCUCAUCAAGUGACGGUAACUACCCAGAAAGGGACGGCUAACUACGUG
rnacentral:rRNA from 1 species